UCCCUGCAGCAAAGGAGAACACAUAAAAUCGGGUGCUGUUCCCCAAAAUUGUCUGUUUUGCAGAGAAUCUGAAGUGCUGAGGGGUUUGUGUAAUAUAUCUAUGUAGGAGAGAGAUGGGACAGGAUUUCUGUUCAGGAAAUCCAGAACAAGGGAACAGAGAUGUCAGGCAAGAUGAACUCACUGGAGAGGAACCACCUCGUGUUUGGAUGUUCUCCAGAUGAGCUCCUGAGCACACAGGGAGGAACUUUGGACUUUCUACACAUGCCAGUAGUGAGUCCAGUCUCUGUGCCCUGGCAGGCUCCUGGAUUCAGUGGGGUGAGGAAUUCUCCCUGGAAUGCCUGGAUGGAGACACAGCCGUGCUUGGAAUGUUUUACCUCAGCAGAACCCACACAAGCCUCAUCUCUCCCUUUCCACAAUCUCUGUCUGGAGCCUGCAGGACACAAAAAAUCACCUUAAUUCAGUGAAAUGUUACCAGUGGAACCCUAAAAUCACUCUGGAUCUGCACUCUGAUUCAUUCCCGUUGCCAUCCUCUCUUUCCACCUGCUGAGGAUUUUGGGGACAUGGGGACACCCACAGGCUCUCUUCUGCACAAAAUGAAGGGCAAAGAGUGAGAGAAUUGUGGAAUUCAAACUGCAUCCAUCAUUUUCCUGGCCAGUGCAGGGCUAUCAGCUUUUAAUGGCCACGAGUAAUUAGGAGAUUUCAUCAGCUGCCCAUCCAGAGGGUUCUCCCACCCUCCUGAAUCAGCAGGAGAGUGUGGAAUUUUAUGGUUUCUCUCUUCCUCCAGGUUUGGUGUGACUGCAUUUGGAGCAGAUGAAAUGCCAGCUCUCCGUAUAUUUAUACAUACAUUCAACAAGUCCCUUCAAUCUCCACCUGGCAUCCCUUUCCCCAUCUGUAAAUGGGAAUCAGGUGGAUCUUUGCUGUGAGGCUUUCUGUGUCCCCACACCCCCCUAUUUUGGGAUUUUUACACGGCCCUAUCCCACAGAGUGGGCAAGGUUUGGGGGAUGAAGGCAGGGCUCAGAUCUGAGCUGGGCACCCUUUCUUCAGAUCAGACAAAAUCAGGGCUCAAACUUCCAAAAUUUUGCUUCUUUGCUAUGAAAAGUUGUCAAUUGUGACAUGUGAAAACUUGGCAUUAUUAAUUUUUUUUUUACAAUUUAUAGCAUCAAAGUCUUCCCAGCUGUCCAAAAUAAUUUCAUCCUGGUACUUUCUAUUAUGACUUUAUAGUUUAAUGCACUUAGAAUACACCAGCACUUUUUAUACCAGUACCAACUACAAAGUUAAUAUGCAUCACCUUUAUAGCAUAAGGAAGGACUAUGAAAUGUUGUCUUUCUGCUACUGAUUUGUGUAUUAUUAUGUUGAGAGAAAGUAACAGCUGUAAGGACAAAAUAACACUUAUUUCACCACCCACGGGAACAUGAAAUUGCAUAUAUUGUUUUUAAAAUUAGCUAUCACAUGUAAGGUUCAAUUGUAUAUAGCUAAAUAAUAAAAGUAAGUGCAUUUUUAGGUGCUCUUCAAAUGAGGUCACAGUGCUGAUGAAGUUCUCAGUAUUUCUCUGAUUUUAUGAGAUUCCAGGGGCAGUGAUGAGAUGUGUGGCACACAGGUACAAGUGGCCAAUUUAAAAAUGCCCUAAAUAUAACUUGAAGGGCUAAUCACAUUUACAGUCCACAAAAUGUGCAUGAAUGCAUAUUGAUGUGAUAAAACCACAUGCACUGAGGAAAUAAUAAACUAUUCAAGUGAAUAUGUAUUAUUCACUGCUAAUUUUAAUUAAGACUCAGUCUCAAUUCUCAUGUACAGAAAAGAUAUAUUUUGGUGCAUAGUUUCCACAGCCUCAUUUUGCACUCUUUUCUUCUGUUAGAAGUAGGUAAAUGUUUUUUAAAAUUUUUAGGAGUGGCCUCUGGGUCUCCAUCCUCUGCCUGGAUGUUUGCAAACCCCACAGGGAGGGCUCAGGGCAGGCAUUUCCAGCAAACUCUGCUCCCCACGGGAAGGACAGCACGAGCCAGGAGGAAUAAAGGGGAACAAUUCUUUCUCAAACACUGAUCCAACUGGAACACUUCAAAAUUUCCAUCCAGGAGGAGAAAUGAUCACUGGGGCUGCUCUCCUCCAGGGCAUCUGGAACUCGGAGCAAAGCUCCUGAGUUAUUAGCUGGGUAGUUUAGCAUUUAUCUUCUGAAGUCACUGCCAAAGGCAUACAGGCAGAAUAAAGAAUAACACCAUAUUGAUAAAUAUGCAUAAUUUCCCCCUGCCUUCCACAAGAAUUAUAUAAAAUGGAAAAGCAUAAUUGGACUCAUAGUAAAUAUAAUCGAUCAGAAUUUAUUUCAGGGUGGGUUUAUCUUUUUUUUCCCCAGAUUGAAUCUUUUUAACAUCAGAUUUCAACCUGCUGUGAGUGACUUUUGGGUCUGAUUUACAAAUCCUUCAGAUGGAGAAUGUCAUAUGGAAACAAAAUAAAUGCUUCCUUGGCUGGG